UACGUAGGGGGCAAGCGUUGUCCGGAUUUAUUGGGCGUAAAGAGCGUGUAGGCGGCCAGGGAGGUCCGUUGUGAAAACUCGAGGCUCAACCUCGAGACGCCGAUGGAAACCGUCUGGCUAGAGUCCGGAAGAGGAGAGUGGAAUUCCCGGUGUAGCGGUGAAAUGCGCAGAUAUCAGGAGGAACACCGGUGGCGAAGGCGGUUCUCUGGGCCUGUACUGACGCUGAGGAACGAAAGCGUGGGGAGCGAACAGG
rnacentral:rRNA from 1 species